GAAAGGAACAAAACUGCACUAAAACACAACACAAAGAAAACAAAUUUUAAUCAGUUCAACCAAAAGAUAAUCGAUGAAAGACUAAACAAAGUUUAAACGGUAAGCAUAAAAAAAAAAACCACGCACCUAGGAUGCAAUGCCGCAAGAAAGAAAAAGGAGAGGAGGAAGACGAUAAAGAUAUCAGAAACAACAAUAGAAUGCCGCAAGAGAGAAAAAGAAGAGGUGCCGUAAGCGAGAAAAAGAAGAGGUGCCGCGAGAGAAAAAGGAGAAGAGGAAGAUGAUAUCAGAAAUUGAAUGCCGCGAAGAGUUUGCGGUUUAUUUAAAAUGAAAUGGGGCGUCGGUUUCUAGACGUUAGUUAUCUCACUAAUAUGACGUCCAAGUUAACAUUUAAACUGACUUUUUGAAUACCCAUUAGACGUCGGUUUUGAGGGAAGCCGACGUCUAGGAAGUUGAACCGAUUGGCGUUUGAUUUCCUGUCAAGGAUGUUCACGACAGUUGUGAUGGGACGCCGAUGUCUAUAAUAGAGUCGACGUCGAUGCCCUUUUAAUCGAUGUCUAAGUCCCUCGAGUUUGGUGAACAUAAUUAAUUACAGGCACAUAGACGUUGCUUCCCCUCAACACCGACGUCUAAAUUGAAGAAUUUUUUGUCUUCCCGCC
rnacentral:lncRNA from 1 species